GUCUUGUUGUGUGUUAAUCACUUCAUGAACUUAAACUUGCAUUGUUUCUUGGUCCUCGUUGCCUGACUCUUAUUCAAAGCAACCUUGCAGCAAACUUUGACAAUCAUAAUUUAAAACUCUUUUGCCUUUUGGUGCAGGUCUUGAACAUUCCUCCACCUCCAAGUUUAACGUGGCUACUUGAGAGGUGAGCUGCUGCCAUUUUUUUUUAAUAUUGAAUAGUACAAUAACUUGAACAGAGAGCGGAGGAGCCAAAAGGACUUUAUUGUUGACCUUCUUGCCGCUUGCUUCAAUCUUGAGGAAGAAAUCAAACACGACACCGAUUGUAGACUUGCAUUUGUUUUCUUUGCCUUUUGAUUCAAAUAUUGUCUCGCAGACACAAAACACCAUACAAGUCAUCACUCCACAAGGGGCAGUCACGUUUGAAACUUUGACAUAUGUUCUGGGAUUGCUCUGGUUUGUUCCAUCCCGUGUGUCGACUGGACUUCUCCGUUUACUGUGGAUUGUGAGCUUUGGCAUUGGUUGUCUCCACCACUCAAGCACCGCUGCAGCCACUUUGUGUUUCUGUAGUUUUUGUGAUCGCAGGUGAGCCAAGUAGAACACGCUGCUAACUUGUGAUUGAAGGUGAGCUAAACCGAACACUCUGCAGUCUUGUGGCUGGAGGUGAAGUAACUUCUUGCAUCUGGCGCUGCACAAAGAUCCCUUCAGUGCAGUUUCUUUGCUUUGUGAGCCGAAGCAUGAUUAAUUUGUACUUGGCGUGAACCGGCAGCCCCAGGUUUCACUUGACACUCAUCUUUGCCACCCAUAUGCAGGACGCACCGCGAUACAGGCAUCAAAAACAAGUGCAGUGAAACCCCCUUGAGUUGGACCUUGCUUCCGCCACCUAUACGCAGGACGCACCGCAGUAUAGGCAUCGAAAGAAGGUCGAGAAUACACGGUACGGGAUUUGAGGCUUUGUGAGUUGUGAUGGUUUUGUUGGUAUAUUUGGUCUCGGGGAAUUUUGAGGCCUUUAGUAUGGAGGGAUUUGUUUUCGGAGCUGUUCAAGAACGUUUAUGGAGUCCACAUGGAAAUGGGCAGAGGCAAGUCUUUCUGCACUCAUGGAGAUAUUAGCAAUGAUAAAGGAAUAGUAGCAAGGAAGACCAUGAAGAAACGACCAGCAGGCUACCUGAAUAUGAAGCUCUCCUGUCGUCGGGUUGUCGUCUCCAGGUAACUAGAACUCUUUACUCUUUCUUCCUCUUAAACACUGCCUUCCUUUGAUGCACGAACUUGACUCACUCUUAUCUCUAAUUCUCUCCGUCUCCCCCCUUGUUGCAUGCAUGUAAAGAGCUCUUUAAAUAGGCACGUAGAAGAAUAAGAGAUCAUGCAGGUUAACCUUAAUUUUAAAUUUGAAAUGAU